GGGGCUUUAGCUCAGCUGGCUAGAGCGCUUCCAUGGCAUGGAAGAGGUCAGGGGUUCGAAUCCCCUAAGCUCCA
rnacentral:tRNA from 1 species